rnacentral:rRNA from 1 species
ACGGAGAGUUUGAUCCUGGCUCAGAACUAACGCUAGUGGCGUGUCUUAGUCAUGCGAGUCGAGCGAGAAAGUCUUCUUCGGAAGACGAGUAGAGCGGCGAACGGGUGAGUAACGCGUGGGUAAUCUUCCUUUGAGUUGGGGAUAACAUUCCUAACGGAAUGCUAAUACCGAAUGUGGAGUACGGUUCUUGGGCCGUACUCUAAAGGCGGCCUCUGCUUGCAUGCUGUCGCUCGAAGAUGAGCCCGCGUCCUAUUAGCUUGUUGGUGAGGUAACGGCUCACCAAGGCAACGAUGGGUAGCCGGCCUGAGAGGGUGAGCGGCCACACUGGCACUGAGACAAGGGCCAGUCCCCUACGGGGGCCAGCAGUCUAGAAAUUUGCACAAUCGUCGAAAGACGGAUGCAGCGACGCCACGUGGAGGAUGAAGCCCCUCGGGGUGUAAACUCCUGUCAGGAGGGAAGAAGGUGCGGGUGAUAAUACCAUCCGUUACUUGACGGUACCUCCAGAGGAAGCUCCGGCUAACUGCGUGCCAGCAGCCGCGGUAAUACGUGGGGAGCAAGCGUUGUUCGGAUUUACUGGGCGUAAAGAGCUC